rnacentral:rRNA from 1 species
GAUGAACGCUAGCGGCAGGCUUAAUACAUGCAAGUCGAGGGGUAGCAAGAUUGUAGCAAUACAAUUGUUGACGACCGGCAAACGGGUGCGGAACACGUACACAACCUUCCUACAAGUGGGGAAUAGCCCAGAGAAAUUUGGAUUAAUACCCCGUAACAUAGCGAUGUGGCAUCACAUUGCUAUUAUAGCUUCGGCGCUUGUUGAUGGGUGUGCGGCUGAUUAGAUAGUUGGCGGGGUAACGGCCCACCAAGUCUACGAUCAGUAGCUGAUGUGAGAGCAUGAUCAGCCACACGGGCACUGAGACACGGGCCCGACUCCUACGGGAGGCAGCGGUAAGGAAUAUUGGACAAUGGGCGCAAGUCUGAUCCAGCCAUGCCGCGUGAAGGAUUAAGGUCCUCUGGAUUGUAAACUUCUUUUAUAAGGGACGAAAAAAGGUCUUUCUAGAUCGUCUGACGGUACCUUAUGAAUAAGCACCGGCUAACUCCGUGCCAGCAGCCGCGGUAACAC